rnacentral:rRNA from 1 species
AGAGUUUGAUCCUGGCUCAGAAUGAACGCUGGCGGCGUGCCUAACACAUGCAAGUCGGAUGUGCCCGCAAGGGUGCAUGGCAGACGGGUGAGUAACGCGUAGGGAACCUACCUUUUUGUGGGGGAUAACGUUCCGAAAGGAAUGGUAAUACCGCAUGAGACCAUGGGCUGGGAUGUUCAUGGUGAAAGCCGGGGAUCGAAAGACCUGGCGCAAGAAGAGGGUCCUGCGUCUGAUUAGCUAGUUGGCGGGGUAACGGCCCACCAAGGCGACGAUCAGUAGCCGGCCUGAGAGGGUGAUCGGCCACACUGGAACUGAGACACGGUCCAGACUCCUACGGGAGGCAGCAGUGGGGAAUUUUGCGCAAUGGGCGAAAGCCUGACGCAGCAACGCCGCGUGGGUGAUGAAGGUCUUCGGAUCGUAAAACCCUGUCGUCGGGGACGAAGGUAAUUCGGUUAACAACUGAGUUGCUUGACGGUACCCGGAGAGGAAGCCCCGGCUAACUCUGUGCCAGCAGCCGCGGUAAUACAGAGGGGGCAAGCGUUAUUCGGAAUUAUUGGGCGUAAAGGGCGCGUAGGCGGUUUUUUAAGUCAGAUGUGUAAUCCCCGAGCUCAACUUGGGAACUGCAUCUGAGACUGGAAGGCUAGAGUACUGGAGAGGGUGGUAGAAUUCCACGUGUAGCGGUGAAAUGCGUAGAGAUGUGGAGGAAUACCAGUGGCGAAGGCGGCCACCUGGACAGUAACUGACGCUGAGGCGCGAAAGUGUGGGUAGCAAACAGGAUUAGAUACCCUGGUAGUCC